rnacentral:rRNA from 1 species
GAUGAACGCUAGCUACAGGCUUAACACAUGCAAGUCGAGGGGAAACGACAUCGAAAGCUUGCUUUUGAUGGGCGUCGACCGGCGCACGGGUGAGUAACGCGUAUCCAACCUGCCCACCACUUGGGGAUAACCUUGCGAAAGUAAGACUAAUACCCAAUGAUAUCUAUAGAAGACAUCUGAAAGAGAUUAAAGAUUUAUCGGUGAUGGAUGGGGAUGCGUCUGAUUAGCUUGUUGGCGGGGUAACGGCCCACCAAGGCAACGAUCAGUAGGGGUUCUGAGAGGAAGGUCCCCCACAUUGGAACUGAGACACGGUCCAAACUCCUACGGGAGGCAGCAGUGAGGAAUAUUGGUCAAUGGACGAGAGUCUGAACCAGCCAAGUAGCGUGCAGGAAGACGGCCCUAUGGGUUGUAAACUGCUUUUAUAAGGGAAUAAAGUGAGUCUCGUGAGACUUUUUGCAUGUACCUUAUGAAUAAGGACCGGCUAAUUCCGUG